GACAGAGGUGCCGAGCGUUAGGCGGAAUCACUGGGCUUAAAGCGUGUGUAGGCGGGCCGUUAAGUACCUUGUGAAAUCCCCCGGCUCAACCGGGGAACGGCUGGGUAUACUGGCGGUCUUGGGCCACCUAGGGGCGAGCGGAACAAGCGGUGGAGCGGUGAAAUGCGUAGAUAUCGCUUGGAACGCCGACGGUGAAAACAGCUCGCUGGGGGUGUGCCGACGCUGAGACACGAAAGCCAGGGGAGCGAACGGG
rnacentral:rRNA from 1 species